GAUGAACGCUAGCGGCAGGCCUAAUACAUGCAAGUCGAACGAGAUUAAGAGGCUUGCUUCUUAUGAAAGUGGCGCACGGGUGCGUAACGCGUAUGCAACCUACCUUAAUCAGGGGGAUAGCCCGAAGAAAUUCAGAUUAAGACCGCAUAAAAACACAGGAUAGCAUUAUCCAAUGUUCAAAUAUUUAUAGGAUUAAGAUGGGCAUGCGUGUCAUUAGCUAGUUGGCGGGGUAACGGCCCACCAAGGCGACGAUGACUAGGGGAUCUGAGAGGAUGACCCCCCGCACUGGUACUGAGACACGGACCGGACUCCUACGGGAGGCAGCAGUAAGGAAUAUUGGUCAAUGGAGGGAACUCUGAACCAGCCCUGCCGCGUGCAGGAAGACAGCCCUCUGGGUCGUAAACUGCUUUUACUCGGGAAUAAACCUUUCUACGUGUAGGAAGCUGAAUGUACCGAAGGAAUAAGGAUCGGCUAACUCCGUGCCAGCCGCCGCCGUAA
rnacentral:rRNA from 1 species